rnacentral:rRNA from 1 species
UAGAGUUUGAUCAUGGCUCAGAUUGAACGCCGGCGGCAGGCCUAACACAUGCAAGUCGAGCGGAAACGACAAUAUUGAUUCUUCGGAUGAUUUGUUGGGCGUCGAGCGGCGGACGGGUGAGUAAUGCCUGGGAAAUUGCCCUGAUGUGGGGGAUAACCAUUGGAAACGAUGGCUAAUACCGCAUAAUGCCUUCGGGCCAGAGAGGGGGACCUUCGGGCCUCUCGCGUCAGGAUAUGCCCAGGUGGGAUUAGCUAGUUGGUGAGGUAAUGGCUCACCAAGGCGACGAUCCCUAGCUGGUCUGAGAGGAUGAUCAGCCACACUGGAACUGAGACACGGUCCAGACUCCUACGGGAGGCAGCAGUGGGGAAUAUUGCACAAUGGGCGCAAGCCUGAUGCAGCCAUGCCGCGUGUAUGAAGAAGGCCUUCGGGUUGUAAAGUACUUUCAGUCGUGAGGAAGGUUCAUGCGUUAAUAGCGUAUGGAUUUGACGUUAGCGACAGAAGAAGCACCGGCUAACUCCGUGCCAGCAGCCGCGGUAAUACGGAGGGUGCGAGCGUUAAUCGGAAUUACUGGGCGUAAAGCGCAUGCAGGUGGUUCGUUAAGUCAGGUGUGAAAGCCCGAGGCUCAACCUCGGAACUGCAUUUGAAACUGGCGGACUAGAGUACUGUAGAGGGGGGUAGAAUUUCA